GUCUCUAUUGUUGGUUUAUUCUUUGUUUUGAUCUAUUUGGUUAAGAUUAGGAAUUGCUAAUUGGGAAUUGAAAAUUAUAUAGUCGAUUGGGAAUUGUUUAGUCGAUUGGAAAUUGUUUGUUUAUUCUUUGUUUUGAUCCGGCAGAUAUGAAGGCUAGGAGGAUUUAAGGAUCCGAGCUCGGAAGCAGCUAUGAAACACGGCAAAGCUUAUGCGGAUGAAGGCGAAGGAGGGAUGGUGGAGAAGCUAAGUGGAGCUGUUACUUCUUGGCUCGCUGGUACGACCGAGGAAGUGAUGCAAAAGGCUACACAGUCUGGUCAUGUCUCUUCACAGUCACUUGGCUCCAUCGUUGAGCUAAAGAAUCCGAUCUGAGGAAGAAGUUGACUAAAUAGAUCGAAGAUGUUU